rnacentral:rRNA from 1 species
UACGAAGGGGGCUAGCGUUGUUCGGAUUUACUGGGCGUAAAGGGCGCGUAGGCGGCCACCGCAAGUCGACUGUGAAAAUCUCCGGGCUUAACCCGGAAAGGUCAGCCGAUACUGCGGGGCUAGAGUGCAGUAAGGGGCAACUGGAAUUCUCGGUGUAGCGGUGAAAUGCGUAGAUAUCGAGAGGAACACCUGCGGCGAAGGCGGGUGCUGGGCUGACACUGACGCUGAGGCGCGAAAGCUAGGGGAGCGAACGGG